rnacentral:rRNA from 1 species
UACGUAGGGUGCAAGCGUUAAUCGGAAUUACUGGGCGUAAAGCGUGCGCAGGCGGUUCGCUAAGACAGAUGUGAAAUCCCCCGGGCUUAACCUGGGAACUGCAUUUGUGACUGGCGGGCUAGAGUAUGGCAGAGGGGGGUAGAAUUCCACGUGUAGCAGUGAAAUGCGUAGAGAUGUGGAGGAACACCGAUGGCGAAGGCAGCCCCCUGGGUCAAGAUUGACGCUCAUGCACGAAAGCGUGGGGAGCAAACAGG